rnacentral:rRNA from 1 species
UACGUAGGUGGCAAGCGUUGUCCGGAAUUAUUGGGCGUAAAGCGCGCGCAGGCGGUCCUUUAAGUCUGAUGUGAAAGCCCACGGCUCAACCGUGGAGGGUCAUUGGAAACUGGGGGACUUGAGUGCAGGAGAGAAGAGUGGAAUUCCACGUGUAGCGGUGAAAUGCGCAGAGAUGUGGAGGAACACCAGUGGCGAAGGCGGCGCUCUGGGCCGGAACUGACGCUGAGGAGCGAAAGCGUGGGUAGCAAACAGG